rnacentral:rRNA from 1 species
GACGAACCGUGCGAACGUUGUUCGGAAUCACUGGGCUUAAAGGGCGCGUAGGCGGGCUCUCAAGUCAGGGGUGAAAGCCCGCGGCUCAACCGCGGAAGCGCCUUUGAUACUGGGGGCCUCGAGGGGGGUAGGGGCGUGCGGAACUUCCGGUGGAGCGGUGAAAUGCGUAGAUAUCGGAAGGAACACCGGUGGCGAAAGCGGCGCGCUGGACCCCUUCUGACGCUGAUGCGCGAAAGCCAGGGGAGCAAACGGG